AGAGACACAAUAACAUGGUCCUAUAAUUUAGAAUAACAAAGUGGAUCUAAUUUACAUGCGCUCUUCAGAAAAGUUCUACCUAAAGAGAUGGUGACUCAGAGGAACAAGGUCAGAGUCCCAUGAAAGUAAAGAUUCACCCAACCAAGGAACACCUGUCACUGCUUGAGAAGCACAGAAGGCAAACUAAAAGGGACUCUGUGAUGUGACCUCAGAACUGUCCUUUACUGUGAGGAAACAGGGCCCCUACCCGGCCCUGGGCUUUGAAGAAUCUCUCUUUACCUCUUCAGCUGCCUGUUUCCCCAAGGGAUAAAGUAUCCAAGGGGUAUGCCCACCAGGAGCCCACACAUUCCUCCACCCCAUUAAACAAUGCUCUGUAUACCCAGGAACACAAAUCCCAUGACCAAACAGCUCAGACAAUGGUGUCCUGGAGGCACUCCUACUGGUUCACAAAAGUCCAUUGUUAUAUUUUCAAAAAUUUUGAAAGCUGGAUGUUAGACAUGACCAUUAUUAAAAAUAAAGUGUAUGAACUUAAA